UGACCUUUAGUACGGCGAGUGAAGCGGCAAAAGCUCAAAUUUGAAAUCUGGUACCUUCGGUGCCCGAGUUGUAAUUUGGAGAGGGCAACUUUGGGGCCGUUCCUUGUCUAUGUUCCUUGGAACAGGACGUCAUAGAGGGUGAGAAUCCCGUGUGGCGAGGAGUGCGGUUCUUUGUAAAGUGCCUUCGAAGAGUCGAGUUGUUUGGGAAUGCAGCUCUAAGUGGGUGGUAAAUUCCAUCUAAAGCUAAAUAUUGGCGAGAGACCGAUAGCGAACAAGUACAGUGAUGGAAAGAUGAAAAGAACUUUGAAAAGAGAGUGAAAAAGUACGUGAAAUUGUUGAAAGGGAAGGGCAUUUGAUCAGACAUGGUGUUUUGUGCCCUCUGCUCCUUGUGGGUAGGGGAAUCUCGCAUUUCACUGGGCCAGCAUCAGUUUUGGUGGCAGGAUAAAUCCAUAGGAAUGUAGCUUGCCUCGGUAAGUAUUAUAGCCUGUGGGAAUACUGCCAGCUGGGACUGAGGACUGCGACGUAAGUCAAGGAUGCUGGCAUAAUGGUUAUAUGCCGCCCGUCUUGAACACACGAAACC
rnacentral:rRNA from 1 species